AUGGGUACGACCCCUUUACCUGAUUUGAAGAGGACAUUUGUGAGGAAGUCGCUGUGUAGAUGCAGAGAUGAGUUAUGGGGCUGCCGUUCUUGUCCUGCAGCUGCUCCUGUCUCUGACAGCAGUUUAAGGGAGAGCCCAGAGGACCAGAGCCCUGCCCCUUUAAUUAGCUCCAGGAGCCAGGCAAGGAAGCCAGUGAGGAAAGUGGCAGCUGAGCAGAGUACAAGAUUGUCAUUCAUGAACUCACUCCCACAGGAUACUAUAGCAUCCAGAGAAGGAGAGAGGAUGCAGGAAAUCUGUACCCCUCAGAUGCCAAGAGGAAAAAUGUAAAUGCUGGAUAUAUAAUAGGACCAUCCACAGCACAUGAAUCAGCAUUGAGAAACCGUUUCCAGCCAAGAGUUUGAAAGUGGAGAAGGGUGUGUGUGAAUUUGAACCUGAAAAAGAGUCUGCAAUUCCUACCGCUGUCCAUUACUAGUUGUGUGAACCGGGUGAGUUAUUGAUCCUGCCUGUGCCUUGGGUUU
rnacentral:lncRNA from 1 species